rnacentral:rRNA from 1 species
UACGAAGGGGGCGAGCGUUGUUCGGAUUUACUGGGCGUAAAGGGCGCGCAGGCGGCUUUGUUUGUCAGGCGUGAAAGCCCCGGGCUUAACCUGGGAACUGCGUUUGAUACGGCAGGGCUAGAGUUCGGGAGAGGAGAGUGGAAUUCCCAGUGUAGAGGUGAAAUUCGUAGAUAUUGGGAAGAACACCAGUGGCGAAGGCGACUUACUGGUCCAUGACUGACGCUGAGGCUCGAAAGCGUGGGGAGCAAACAGG